AUCUAAAUAUUUUCGAAUGUUGGUAGAAUAAUUUUAUGUGAAUUGAACAAAAGCAAUUAUGUCUAAUACGUCCAUUUCACUUGUAAUGAAUUUUCGAUAAACCCAUUAAAAUAGAAAAUAGGUUUUGCUUUUUACAAAUGAUACAUUUAAUUAUCAAUAAAUAACUAUUGAAGAAGUGGAGAAUAAUUAAAAUUUGUUAAAUAGGAAGGAACUUUGACGGACAUUAUAUUUAUUUUUCUAAAAGGCGAUUUGAAAAAGAGAACUAGGUAUCUAUUUAAUCGCAUAUUCGAGUUCAUUUGAAAUUGGGUAAUCAAUAAAUUUAGUUUUUUAUCACAAAUGUUCGUCAUUUAUAUCUUAAAGCUAGAGAACACUGCUUCCGUAUGAUACUUUCACAACAAAUUUCAUGAUGAAAGUCACCUCUUCCGUCCUGAAAUGGAUUCGAUUUUGUGUCGCUCUCACCGGUUCAUUUUAAAAAUGUGUAAAAUAGAAUGGUAACAGAAACACUUAAUGGGGCUUUGCUAUAAGCAAGGAAAAAUCGAAUCGUGACAAUUAAUAUUUCGUCCCCAUAACUAAAAGGACAAACCACUUGCUACUUGUAGAGUGUUAGACGACCAAAUUUCAAAGAUAAGUCUUCCAUAAAGUGGUUCGUCAUUUUUAGCUAAACCUAAAAGUGAGAAACAACUUGCAACAAAAUGCCCUGCCCACUAAUUGUAGCGCUAGAAUUAAUGAGUCAAGCGGGAUAAAUUCCAGUGCUAAUUGGAAUUACCCGCGUCUGUACUACAGUAGCAUCCUUUUAAUAAAAACAUUAUAAAUUUAAUACAGGUAUGCUUACUUGAAAAAUUGAGCAGAAACAUAUAUACAUAGUUAAUCACGGGAGGAUGACAGGAGGGAGAGCCUACUGGAAUCGCUUUUUAUCCAGACACAAUAAAAAGGACUUACAUUUGUCUGGUGAAGUGCGGUUCAUGACUUUACCUGGAGCAGAAGAAUCACUGACAAUUAGCCACACGUACCAAGAACACAGAUCUGUACACACAAAGGGUGCGGCACCUGAACACAUGAUUGCUUAGAAAAGCUGGAAUUUCUCUGUCUUUUGGAGGUUUUGCCGAACCAAUUGCGUCCUUCCAGGCGGACAGACCAUGUCACCCACGCCUGGUGGGAAAUGUGGUUGCCGGCAGAGACUCAGACUUUCCUCUUUAGAGAACUGAUGUCGAGAUCCAUGUGAUUAGGGUUUGGGUGUCUGUGAGUUUAACAAAUAAAAGGAUAGGAAUGAAAAUGAAUGUUUUGGAAUGAAUGGGAGAAUGGCUAGGAAACGUACAGGAAUCCGGUCUGCGAGGGAACGAGGACCUAGGUUUGAUUUCAGCGUUGGUUGGGAUCUAAUGAACCACAAGCCCCCCAACCCCCUAAACACAGAUCAUCUUCCUGCAAUAUUGGUCAGUUAAUGUCCCAACCAUCCAUACUCAAAUCUACACCCUUUCAAGGAAAGAACAUGUGGUCUGCUCUGUCUGGUCUCCUCUUACAUCAUCAACAAAAUGGCUGAAGAUACCAGCGUAUCCCAGUGACACAGCAGUAAAUACCUGCCACACCUUCUCCCCAAGAGGGACAGUAGGACACAGCCCUGCUUCAUGUCAUUUUCCAUGUCAGGAUCAGAGCCAGUAACUUACGGGGCUUAGGUGGAGCUCAGAAUUAUGAUAUUAUUUUCAUAUAGUUUUAUAUGCUAAUAAAAUUACAAUAUGAUAAGUUGUAAUUUCUAAAAGUGCUACUAAGGACUAUAGUAUGAUGUGUAUUAUAAGAGA